rnacentral:lncRNA from 1 species
ACUUGUAAUCUAAUUUUUGGAUAACCGAAUCAUGUUAAAGCAUGGCCCGCUCAACCAGACGCCUCCAAUUGUCACCCCAUUUUUCCUACAGACGAGAUAGGGGAACAUAAUGAUUAACAUAGGGGUGAUCGAAUACACAUACUUUGGGGUUCGAGAGUAUUAUUUAAUUCACGUGGUAUCCGAGCAAUUUGUGAGGGUCAAUCACCCAAAGUGUCUAACAUUUUCGAGUAAAUUGGCAUUUUCCUUUUCCCACUUCUUCUAAUUCUAGUUUUACUUUACCUUUAUAUUCACUUUCUAGUUUAAUUUAGGGAUGGUCACUUCGUUUAACCUUGGUUAAUGUAUUUUAAUUUGUUAUAGACUCAUCAUUUAAAUUUACGAAAUAUUUCAUUCAGAUCAAUAAUUUAAUUUGACUUGCACUUUUUAAUAUAGUGCUAAUUCAUUGAAUAGUUACAAAUUUUAGUUAAAUUCUACGACUUAUCAAAUGAAAAAUUAGAAUGUUCACUUAAAAAUUGUACGCAAAUAUACGGAAUCGAUAGCUCAACCAGAUACGGCUCCAAUUGCUACCCAUUUCACACUUCUUCUAAUCUAGUUUUACUUUGCCUUGUCAUUCAUUCAUGGGUAAUUAUAGUGAUCACCAAUAAACUUUGAACUACGUGUAACAUUGGUCAA